GCCUGAUGCAGCUAUACCGCGUGUAUGAAGAAGGCCUUAGGGUUGUAAAGUACUUUCGUUGGGGAGGAAAAAUAAAUAGAUAAUACCUGUUUAUCGUGACGUUACCCAAAAAAGAAGCACCGGCUAACUCCGUGCCAGCAGCCGCGGUAAUACGGAGGGUGCAAGCGUUAAUCAGAAUUACUGGGCGUAAAGAGCUCGUAGGCGGUUUUUUAAGUCAGAUGUGAAAUCCCUGGGCUUAACCUAGGAACUGCAUUUGAAACUAAAAGACUAGAGUAUCGUAGAGGGAGGUAGAAUUCUAGGUGUAGCGGUGAAAUGCGUAGAUAUCUGGAGGAAUACCUGUGGCGAAAGCGGCCUCCUAAAUGAAUACUGACGCUGAGGUGCGAAAGCAUGGGGAGCAAACAGGAUUAGAUACCCUGGUAGUCCAUGCCGUAAACGAUGUCGACUUGGAGGUUGUUUCCUUGAGAAGUGACUUCCGAAGCUAACGCGUUAAGUCGACCGCCUGGGGAGUACGGUCGCAAGGCUAAAACUCAAAUGAAUUGACGGGGGCCCGCACAAGCGGUGGAGCAUGUGGUUUAAUUCGAUGCAACGCGAAAAACCUUACCUGGUCUUGACAUCCACAGAAUUUUUCAGAGAUGAAAAAGUGCCUUAGGGAACUGUGAGACAGGUGCUGCAUGGCUGUCGUCAGCUCGUGUUGUGAAAUGUUGGGUUAAGUCCCGCAACGAGCGCAACCCUUAUCCUCUGUUGCCAUUGGUUCGGCCAGGAACUCAGAGGAGACUGCCGGUUAUAAACCGGAGGAAGGCGGGGACGACGUCAAGUCAUCAUGGCCCUUACGACCAGGGCUACACACGUGCUACAAUGGUGUAUACAAAGAGAAGCAACUCUGUAAAGACAAGCAAACCUCAUAAAGUACCA
rnacentral:rRNA from 2 species